UGAUAGUGGGCUCUAGUUACCUUUAUUCUGAAAUGGGUUUUCUUCCCCUAUAAAAGUCAUUAGGUCCUUCAUCUGAAUCUAAACUCAAACUGAACUUCCCAACUUUAUUUUUCUGAGGAUCAGACUUCUUUAACCGAAGAACUCAGGAGUCACGAUUGAACUGCUCUGGUAACAUCUUCACUCCCAGUUUCUAUUUUCAAAUGUUUUUCUUUUGUCUGAUAGUGUAGUUCAGUGUUUCAAAAUGAUAAUUAUUUUAAGAAAGGGUAAAGUAUAAGAUUGUAUAACUCAUCAGUUGAUCAUCACUUUUGUUGUGUCUGGUAUUCAACUUAUGUAACUUAAUCAUAAUCUGAUUGUAAUCAGUAUAAGAAAAUGAUUUAAUCUCCAAUUAAGAAGCAUAGCCACAAUGAUAUGUUGCCCUUUUCUUUUAAUUAUACGUUUUUUACAGCAUUGUUUAGUAUCAAUCCAAACAAAAGAACAACUGAAAAUGAAACCUGAAUAUGCUGAACGAAUGGCCUUGGAUAGAAUCAGCACACUUCCGCAACCCAUAUUAGAAACCGUCCUUUCUCUUUUAUCAACUGAAGAGGCAGCAAGGACUAGUAUUCUCUCUAAGGAAUGGAGGUACAGGUGGACCACAAUUCCUAACCUAGAGUUUACUUUGCGUAAAAGAUUUUCCGAGCUAACAUCUGACGAAGAAAGUGAAAUGAAAUACAUGGACCUGCAUGAUCUACACCAAGUUUUGUUGCUGCGCCAGGGCCCAAUUCACGAGCUCACCCUUUCUAUGGAGGGUUACUGGGAAGACGACGACCUUUUUGAAUUUGAGCAGAUAAUACUUCAUUUGUCGAGGAACCAUAUUGUUAGGAAACUAGAACUUGAUGCAUCGGAGUUGGAGAGCCAUGGGUAUAAAUUACCCAUAUCUGUUUUCGCAUUGCAUCACUUAAAGGAGCUCGAUCUUUUUAGUUUUACUAUUGAGCUUCCAUCAAUAUUCAAUGGCUUUGGUAGCCUUGUAAAGUUAAACCUGACUGAUGUAAAGCUCUCUUCAAAAACUCUUCGACGUCUUUUAUCAAAUUGUCCAUCACUUGAGAGCUUGCAUGUGGAUAUAGAUGAAUCAGAUGAUGAAUGCACUAUUAACGAGCUACUCAAGUGCUUACCUGUGAUUGAAGAACUGUCUAUUUCUAGUGAUGUUUGUGAGUCUAUGGUUCUAGUGGCUGGUUCUAGACUCGGAUCCGCAAGAGCUUCCAAUCUCACUAGUCCACCUCAAAGUCUUACAUUUGGAAGGAAUGUCUUUUACUGAGGACUCCAAAUCAGCUUUCCUUCUUGUUUUGAUCAAAUGUUCCCCCAACUUGGAGAGAAUUUGCCUAAAUAUGGCGUGGAGAUCUAAGGGUGAUGAGGAAUACCCUGCUGUAAAGAAUGAAUAUUCAAAUGUUUGGUUGGAGCAUCUGAAAGAAUUAGAAAUUAGUUUUUGGAGCCGCUCGCAUGGGAUGGAACUUUUAAUGGAAUUUGGAAAGUUUAUCUUGGUUAGGUCACCUAAGCUAAAGAAGGUGAGCAUAUUCGGUUUGGAUGAUAAGUGUCGAGAGUCAAUGAUCGUAAAUACGCUCUUAGGGGCGCCACGCGCGUCUCCGGCAGUAAAUUUUAAAAUCAAUUAUCCUGUUCCUUGGAGCUAUCCUUCAACCCGAACAACUCCCGUUUAGCACGAUAUCUCUAACUUCACCGUAUUACGUGUUUUACCUGUAAAAUCAUAAAAACUCAAAUGGAGAUUGAGCAUGGACCGUUGCCGGGGAGUCGUGCGCUUAGUUUAGUUUUGUUUUGUUUUGUUUGCUUGCUUUCAUUUUUAGUGUGAGUGAGAAUUGCUUCAAACCUUUAUUGUUUGUAUGUUGAGAUUUGUGACUUGUUAUUAGUUAUCUAGUAUUGUGGUCAUUUCCGGAUCAA